rnacentral:rRNA from 1 species
UACGUAGGGUGCGAGCGUUGUCCGGAAUUAUUGGGCGUAAAGAGCUCGUAGGCGGCUUGUCGCGUCGGAUGUGAAAGCCCGGGGCUUAACUCCGGGUCUGCAUUCGAUACGGGCAGGCUAGAGUUCGGUAGGGGAGAUCGGAAUUCCUGGUGUAGCGGUGAAAUGCGCAGAUAUCAGGAGGAACACCGGUGGCGAAGGCGGAUCUCUGGGCCGAUACUGACGCUGAGGCGCGAAAGCCAGGGGAGCAAACGGG